AGGGUUUGAUUAUGGCUCAGGAUGAACGCUGGCGGCGUGCUUAACACAUGCAAGUCGAGCGAAGCACCUUGACGGAUUUCUUCGGAUUGAAGCCUUGGUGACUGAGCGGCGGACGGGUGAGUAACGCGUGGGUAACCUGCCUCAUACAGGGGGAUAACAGUUGGAAACGGCUGCUAAUACCGCAUAAGCGCACAGUACCGCAUGGUACGGUGUGAAAAACUCCGGUGGUAUGAGAUGGACCCGCGUCUGAUUAGGUAGUUGGUGGGGUAACGGCCUACCAAGCCGACGAUCAGUAGCCGACCUGAGAGGGUGACCGGCCACAUUGGGACUGAGACACGGCCCAA
rnacentral:rRNA from 1 species